AUGCAACAUAAUAGGGUCACUAUGCUGUCUUCCUCCGAAACAUGCCACCUUGGUUCCAGUUCCAACAACCAGGCUAUCGAUCAGCAGAACCCUGCUGUUGAUGAGCAUAAUCUACUUCCUGACACCCUAGAGAGUGAGAACUACCCACACUAUGUUCUCAAUAGUCACGAGGUAGGAAUGCCAAGUGGAAGCAUGAUUGGUCAGCAAAAUACAAGCUUGAGUUUGUGGGAUUCACCUGGUUCUAGCUCCGCGGGCUUCCUAGCCGAUCAUGAUAGCCUUUUACAGGCCAAAAGGGAACAUUUUGCACCUGCUUUGUCUAUAGGCGGCCCUUUAAUCAUCGAAGGGAGAAGACGAGAAAGCAGUAGUUCAUUGCCUUCACACAACUUAAACAUUGACCUAAACAUUAAUCAGGCUGAUCAAUUUGAGUCCGGGAAUGUUGAUAUGGUUCAGAGUAAUGGACACUCUGGAAUGAAUACUUAUCCUCCGAAUAGAGGUCUUUUGACCACUGAAAAUGUUCUUCGUCGUGAAAUUUCUCCUGGUGCUAUAAGAAGUUCCUUGCAUUCUGCAAACUUUUUUGAUGGUACAGCAGGCCAAGAAACCGGUGGAAGUUCUUCACAUACCGUGAAUCAUUUUCGGUCAUCUAUCAAGAGAAAGAAUGUUGCUGGAAGUCUCGGAGAGUCUUCUGCCAAUGGGAGUUCACGCAAUCAUCGCCAAAACAAUGAUAUGCUGCUACCUUCGCUGUCCAGUCAUGAAAGUACUGCUAAUUUAAAUAUGACCUCUGUAAACUAUGGUUUUUCAUACCCUCCCAUGGAGCAGUUGGACCAGAAUACUGAUACCUCAGAAGAUGACAUUUUUUCUGACCCUUAUACACUAUCUGGUCAUCUGCAUGAAAGUCAAAGAUUCCUGAGAAAUACCCGGAUGAGAAUAAGCGCCAAUGAGUAUGAGCAAUCACUUACUAAUCUGCUGCCUGAGGAAAGUUUCAGGUGUUCAGCUCAUCAGCCUGCGCGGCAACAGUCUUCUUUUACGCCAGUGCAACCUAGAGGAGCGAGUUCUUCAGCAAGUUCUCAAAAUCGUCCUCAUGUACCUGCUGUUGCUCAAUUCUCGCAAAGUCUGCAGCGACAUCCAUCAAAUGGUAAUUUCGGUUCAAGAGUAGGGAGUUCUGCUGAUACAAUAAAUCCGACACCUGCUUCACAAGAUCCUGGUAGCAGCCUGGCAAGAAGCAAUCUCCCUGAGCCCUUUAUGCUAGGUCCGUCGUUGUUUACUACUGAUUCAACAAACUUGCUAUCUGCACCCGGAAGCAGAAGUAACCAGCAAAAUCCCAGCUCCAGCUCUACACUUCGAGCUGCUGCAAAUGUAGGACCCCAACAGGUUCCUGGGUUGAAUUCAUCUCAGCCAAGUUCAGCCGCAAGAGGUUCAGCUGAUGUACCCAGGAGAGCCUCACUUGCUGCUAGUGUGUCUCAUUCCAGAAGUCCAAGCAUUGCAUUGCAGCACCGUGGGCAUUCAUCUUCAUCACACGAGAUUCGGAACCAUCAACCAGGAUCAAGCGCUCGUGCAAGUCUGCAACACUACUCCAGGGCAGUUCCUCCCUCUAUUGAUAGGCAAAACCCAGGUUACUUGGACCUUCAGUCUUUUAUGCAGAGCAUAGCUGCUUCAAGAGAAGGAAGCAGGACGGUCUCAGAGCUUCGUAAUGUGGUUGAACAAAUUCGUCAGGGGAGAAGUGCUGCUAGACUGGAGGAUUUUCUUGUUGAUCGUCAACUUAUCAGGAGAGCCAGUUUGGUCGAUAGGCAUCGUGAAAUGCGGCUUGAUGUGGAUAACAUGUCGUAUGAGGAACUGUUGGCACUUGGUGAACGUAUUGGGCAUGUGAGUACUGGACUCAGUGAGGAGAAAAUAAUGAGUGGCUUGAAGCAGUGGAAGUAUCUCCACAUACCAUUGGAGGAACCUGCAACAGUUAUUGAACCAUGCUGUAUUUGCCAGGAAGACUACGCAGACGGCGAGGACAUGGGCAGGGUGGAGUGCGGGCACUACUUCCACACGGCGUGCAUCAAACAGUGGCUGGUGAUCAAGAACACUUGCCCCAUCUGUAAAAAGGCAGCGCUGGGCACCUAA
rnacentral:rRNA from 1 species